rnacentral:rRNA from 1 species
CCGCCUGAGCGGUGUAUUAAGCGAUAAAUUCGGCGGGAAAAUAAUACAAAAAGGCCAGAGGGGCCAAGUAGAAACAGGAGGACGACGCCAGUGGCGAAAUUCGCAAAUAAGGACCGGGGGAUCCCACAGAAAAUAAAAAAUCGAGGUAGGAUACAAGGGAGCGGCCAAGGAAACAUAAGAAUACACUGGGAAGACGCCGGCAACGGUAAAAUCAAAGGAAUUGCGGGGGCCCGCACAAGCGAAGGAACAUGGGGUUAAAUCGAUGANACGCGAGGAGCCUUACCCGGGCUUAAAUUGCAACUGACGGACUUGGAAACAGGUCUAUCUUCGGACAGUUGUGAAGGUGCUGCAUGGUUGUCGUCAGCUCGUGCCGUGAGGUGUCGGCUUAAGUGCCAUAACGAGCGCAACCCUUACCGACAGUUACCAUCAGGUAACGCUGGGGACUCUGUCGGGACUGCCGUCGUAAGAUGUGAGGAAGGUGGGGAUGACGUCAAAUCAGCACGGCCCUUACGUCCGGGGCUACACACGUGUUACAAUGGGGGGUACAGAAGGCAGCUACACGGCGACGUGAUGCUAAUCCCAAAAGCCUCUCUCAGUUCGGAUUGGAGUCUGCAACCCGACUCCAUGAAGCUGGAUUCGCUAGUAAUCGCGCAUCAGCCACGGAGCGGUGAAUACGUUCCCGGGCCUUGUACACACCGCCCGUCAAGCCAUGAAAGCCGGGGGUACCUGAAGUGCGUAACCGCAAGGAGCGCCAUAGGGUAAAACUGGUGAUUGGGGCUAAGUCGUAACAAGG